GCCACGCCUCUCCUCCUCCCGUCGUCCUCUGCGUUCAUAAAGUCACCUCUGCUGCUGUUAGCAGUUCGUCUCUAGUUUGUUAAAACCAUGGCUCCUCCGGUUGCAGUGUCACCUUUGAUAAAGACAGCCAGGUAUUCGGCUUUGAUUGUUGGCAUCCUCUACGGCAAAAGCAGAUAUGACCACCUGAAGCCUAUUGCUGCUGAGGAGAAGAGGAUUGAAGAGGAGGAGAAGAAAGCCCGUGAGGAGAGGGAGCGUAUUGCCAAGGAGCUAGCAGAGGCAAAUGAAGACACCAUUCUGAAGUAGAGCAUGUGAGGAGGACGUCCAUGUACAUGUGCAAUUUCCAACGUCUUUCCUCCUUUUUUCCCGGAGUAACAAUGACAAAGUCGCCACCAGUCAGAGACUCCUGCGUUGUAAAUUAGUUUGCUGUUAACAUGAAUAAUACAACAUGUUGAAUCACUAGUUAAAGCUCUUACAUUCAGAAUUGUACCAUGCAAAUUCAGCCGCAUAAGUUAUUUUCCAUUUUGUAACGGAGCAAUGUCAUUAAUACAGAUAUUACCGAUCA